rnacentral:rRNA from 1 species
GCAGCCGCCGCGGUAGUACGAAGGGGGCUAGCGUUGUUCGGAAUUACUGGGCGUAAAGCGCACGUAGGCGGAUAUUUAAGUCAGGGGUGAAAUCCCGCAGCUCAACUGCGGAACUGCCUUUGAUACUGGGUAUCUUGAGUAUGGAAGAGGUAAGUGGAAUUGCGAGUGUAGAGGUGAAAUUCGUAGAUAUUCGCAGGAACACCAGUGGCGAAGGCGGCUUACUGGUCCAUUACUGACGCUGAGGUGCGAAAGCGUGGGGAGCAAACAGGAUUAGAGACCCCCGUAGUCCCUGUCUCUUAUAC